GCUGGGUGUAGUGGCGUGCACCUGUAGUCCCAGCUACUCGGGAGGCUGAGGCAGGAGAAUCGCUUGAACCCAGGAGGCAGAUAUUGCAGUGAGCCAAGAUCAUGCUGCUUCACUCCAGCCUGGGCGACAGAGCGAGACUCUGUCUCAA
ensembl:misc_RNA Metazoa_SRP Metazoan signal recognition particle RNA